rnacentral:tRNA from 1 species
GGGGCAAGCACGCCAACGACCGAUGCGGCGGUCUCGAAAACCGUUAGGGGUCGUUAGGCUCCUCGGGGGUUCAAAUCCCCCCUCUCCG